rnacentral:rRNA from 1 species
CCUACGGGAGGCAGCAGUGGGGAAUAUUGGGCAAUGGAGGAAACUCUGACCCAGCGACGCCGCGUGCGGGAUGAAGGCCUUCGGGUUGUAAACCGCUUUCAGUAGGGAAGAAGCGAAAGUGACGGUACCUACAAAAGAAGCACCGGCUAACUAUGUGCCAGCAGCCGCGGUAAUACAUAGGGUGCAAGCGUUGUCCGGAAUUAUUGGGCGUAAAGAGCUCGUAGGUCGUUUGUUACGUCGGAUGUGAAAACCUGAGGCUCAACCUCAGGCCUGCAUUCGAUACGGGCAAACUAGAGUUUGGUAGGGGAGACUGGAAUUCCUGGUGUAGCGGUGGAAUGCGCAGAUAUCAGGAGGAACACCAAUGGCGAAGGCAGGUCUCUGGGCCAAUACUGACACUGGGGAGCGAAAGUCUGGGGAGCGAACAGGAUUAGAUACCCUGGUAGUCCAGACCGUAAACGGUGGGCACUAGUUGUGGGAACCUUCCACGGUUUCUGCGACGCAGCUAACGCAUUAAGUGCCCCGCCUGGGGAGUACGAUCGCAAGAUUAAAACUCAAAGAAUUGACGG